AUUGGCGUGCCAUGGUCUAAUAGACUGAUUCCUUGCCUUUUACCAGAAAUCACUGUGGACCAGGCACAAAACGCCGCUAACUAAUCUUUGGAAACCUCCCUGAACGGGAU
rnacentral:snRNA from 1 species